GACGUAGGGCGCGAGCGUUGUUCGGAUUCAUUGGGCGUAAAGGGUGUGUAGGUGGCGCCGUAAGUCGGGUGUGAAAUUUCGGAGCUUAACUCCGAAACUGCAUUCGAUACUGCGGUGCUUGAGGACUGGAGAGGAGACUGGAAUUCAUGGUGUAGCAGUGAAAUGCGUAGAGAUCAUGGAGGAAGACCAGUGGCGAAGGCGGGUCUC
rnacentral:rRNA from 1 species